rnacentral:rRNA from 1 species
GACGAACCGUGCGAACGUUAUUCGGAAUCACUGGGCUUAAAGGGCGCGUAGGCGGGCGGGCAAGUCGGGGGUGAAAUCGUUCGGCCCAACCGGACAAGGGCCCCCGAUACUGGCCGUCUCGAGGGAGGUAGGGGUCGAUGGAACUUCCGGUGGAGCGGUGAAAUGCGUAGAUAUCGGAAGGAACGCCGGUGGCGAAAGCGAUCGACUGGACCUCUUCUGACGCUGAGGCGCGAAGGCCAGGGGAGCAAACGGG